GACAGAGGGGGCAAGCGUUGCUCGGAAUCACUGGGCGUAAAGGGCGCGUAGGCGGGAUGGCAAGUCGGUCGUGAAAUCCCUGGGCUCAACUCAGGGGGGUCGGCCGAUACUGCCGUUCUUGAGGGAUGCAGAGGAGACUGGAAUUCUCGGUGUAGCGGUGAAAUGCGUAGAUAUCGAGAGGAACACCUGCGGCGAAGGCGGGUUGCUGGGCUGACACUGACGCUGAAGCGCGAAAGCUAGGGGAGCGAACGGG
rnacentral:rRNA from 1 species